GGGCCCGUGGUCUAGUGGCUAUGACAUCGCCUUGACGUGGCGAAGAUCGAGGGUUCAAAUCCCUCCGGGCCCA
rnacentral:tRNA from 1 species